rnacentral:lncRNA from 1 species
AUGAUAUUUCCUUGAAAAACAAAUCACAUAAUACAUUAUGAACAAGUUAGAUACCAAAAUAUGUUUUACAACAUGCCAUGGAAAGUGGGCUUGGUAACAAAAUAGUCAAUUAAAAAGAAUAAAACUAAACUUACAGAUCUGGAAAAGCAUUGGCUACAUAAUCACAUUCAGUUUCUCUCCAUCAUAUCUCUAUUUUCUUCUUGGCUAAAUAAGUCAUACUCCAACGUAUAUAAAUGUUUGAAAACUCAUCCUUCAUUUGGUUCUUGACACCAAUGCGACCAUCUUUGGUAGCCACAACAGUUGGUUGUGAUGUUCCAACUGCCAUAAUUUCUUCCUACAAAAAUAAAUCCACAAAAAUAAUCAAAUUCAUGUUUCCCAUAGCUGUUUGAUUUGAACACAAAUAAGAUUACUAAUGGUUUAUCUUUAUCCCCAUACACAUGGCGCUUAAUCUAAUCUCAGCCGCACAACCUAAUAUAGAAAUAUAACAACCAAAAAGCAUUUUAAUUAUGACAUGGUAAAGAGAAAGCCCAAAAAAAAUUGUCAAACUGAGACUACAAAGUAGAAUGCCACAAGUAGAUUAUAUUGAACGGUCCACAUUAAUGCAACUCUCAUUUACAAAAUUUUGCUUUCUAGAAAUGUCAUAAGUAGUUAUCACUCAAAAAGAAACAAGGCCUUGAUCAUAUCCACAACAUCAAACAUAUCAAUGACAACAAGAUUAAGUUAAAAUCAAAUGAACAUACACAAUUUCUGGCUCUCAAAUAUUUAUGUAAACAAUGGAAAGUUCACACAUUCUCACCUGGCUAGAUUGUAUAACACAAGCUUCAAUCAUGUUCAACAAAAAUAAUGAGAAUCAUCAUAGGACAAACAACACAUUUCAAGAACAUGUUGAGUUCCUAAGCAUAUUUCAAACAUUAAUCAAAAGUUGACAUAAAGCUCUACGAAUCAAAAUUAUCAUGCUUGCUCAUUGAUUUAUCACAAACCUGUCUUUCGGAUCUUCAAAAGCAUGUGAGCUUGUUUUCAAAAAGUAUUCACAAUAUUCACAAUACUAACUACUUACUAAUAUAAUAUAAAUUACCAAAUGUCAUUUAAUUCAACAAAAUAAAUAAAAAAUAAAUAAAACACCAAGUACUACAUGUUCAGAGUACCUAUUCAAAAUUUCACAAACAUCAUGAAUCUAACAUAUUCAAAAUUAGUCAACUGAAAUUAAAGACUGAAUUAAUAAUAAUAAUAAAAACUGUAAAAGUUCACUGGGAUUGGCGUGCUUUAAGCUCCAUGCUCUCCUCCAUCUUGCUCAUUAUUAUCUCCAACUUCAACAUCAUUUUGAUGAGCUUCCCCCUCCAGUACAUGUGGACUGACCCUGGGCCAUUUAACAAAUGCAGCAAAGAUCUCAAGUGUAGGCCGAGCAAAAGGAAUUGUUGUGCCUUGCUGCAUNNN